rnacentral:rRNA from 1 species
UACGAAGGGUGCUAGCGUUGUUCGGAAUUACUGGGCGUAAAGGGCGUGUAGGCGGACAUAUCAGUCAGGGGUGAAAUCCCGGGGCUCAACCCGGAACUGCCUUUGAUACUGUAUGUCUAGAAUCUGUGAGGGGAUAGUGGAAUAUCAAGUGGUAGAGGUGAAAUUCGUAGAUAUUUGAUGGAACACCAGUGGCGAAGGCGACUAUCGUGGCAACAGUAUUGACGCUGAGGCGCGAAAGCGUGGGGAGCAAACAGGAUUAGAUACCCGGGGUAGUCC